UACGUAGGGCGCAAGCGUUGUCCGGAAUUAUUGGGCGUAAAGAGCUCGUAGGCGGCUUGUCACGUCGGAUGUGAAAGCCCGGGGCUUAACUCCGGGUCUGCAUUCGAUACGGGCUAGCUAGAGUGUGGUAGGGGAGAUCGGAAUUCCUGGUGUAGCGGUGAAAUGCGCAGAUAUCAGGAGGAGCACCGGUGGCGAAGGCGGAUCUCUGGGCCAUUACUGACGCUGAGGAGCGAAAGCGUGGGGAGCGAACAGG
rnacentral:rRNA from 1 species